rnacentral:lncRNA from 1 species
CCCCUUUGAUCACUGUGAAUGUAGGCAGCAUUUACCUAUCAGGGUUUCACUGAAUACCUGCUUGUGUCCUCCAGACACAGCUCUGAAAAAUCAGAAAAGGCCCUUGCCUCCCUGAGCUCAAAAGGCAGCCAGCAGCCACUAGGAGCUAAGAAUGGUGACUUGGACUGUGCUUAGAGAUAAGAAAAGGGCCUGGCUGGGGGCAGGGAGGGGACCUACUUUAGCUUCAGUCUCAGAAAAGCCUCCCUGAGGCGAUAAUGGAGCUGAGUAAGGUGAGGAGGUAAGCACGUGCUGCUCGGGGUGGGCCAGAAAGGGCCAAAGCAAAGACCUCGUGGCAAAAUGACGAGGCCCCAAAGCUAUGGGUGUGGCUGGAAUGGAAUGAAGGUCAGAGCUUCGGGAGGCUCCUACCACGAGGCUGAGGGCGGCUGGAAAGGCUGCUCUGCUGUUCCCCUGGCUAUGCCGGCGCCACGGUCCCAAUAAUCACCCUCGGGAGUCAGCCUUGGCUUCACGUCGGGAUCUCCCACUUAGACAUUUUAGGAAAGUUACUUAGUUUUCUCACGUUAAACCAGGUUUCUUCUGUGUAACGUCAGAUGAGAGGCGAUUAUUCCUUUUAUCCUUGGCCUCCGCAGCGGCCCGUCACAGAGCGAGCUCAGACUGUAAAAGACACGCAAUCUCUCAACCUCAGGAUGCCAGAAGCAGGGCAAGAGGAGUGAGUUCCCCAGGAGAAGCUGCUGCUAACUGAUGGGACUGUUGGCGGUGCCACUGCAGUGUCCCUGGUACCGUGAGGCCUCGGGCUUGGCCUGGAGUCUAAGUUGAUCUAGGCAUCCCGGCUCCUGCUCCAUCCCAGGACCCGAGCGCGGUGGCGACGUUUGUCAUCUCCACCCCGGCUCCGCCAGGAGACCCGCGCCCCUGGGCCGGAUCAAGAAGGUGGAGGCUGGGCCGAGGGGUGGGAGCCGUGGGAGCCGGCGGCAGCGCAGGGAUCAAAUUCAGAGCCUUGUGCUUUUGAAGCAGGCGCGGUGCAACUGAGCUAAAUCCCCAGCCUUUAUAACAUAGUCUUAUCAAUAAUAGGUAGGAGUGCAAGUCCAACUUUUUUUCUUUUUUUCCCCUUGGGACAAGGCCACACUAAAUUGCCCAGGCUGACCUGGAUAUCAAUCCUCCUGCCUCGGCCUCCUGAGUGCUGGGAUUAAGGACGCCCAACUCCACGC